rnacentral:antisense_RNA from 1 species
UGUGGGAGCGAGCCUGCUCGCGAUUGAACGAUAACGCGGUAUUCCUGAAACACCGCGGCGCCUGAAUCGCGAGCAGGCUCGCUCCCACA